CUGAGGAAGAGACGUGGUGCGAACGAGCGCUGUACGCGUACUGAGAUGCUCAGGGACAGAAGAGUGGGGGUUAAAGUGGAAAGGAAGGAGCUGUGAGAAGCCACUCUUGUGAGAAGAGCGUCCAAAACACACCCCUUCAAAGGGAACUUGGCAACGCCCCUCAACACGGAUUAACCUUCGGGUCGCAGAUGAGUGCCGCCUAGCGAGAAGACAGACGCAUAGACCCAGUGGAACAGAACUGAGAGGCCAGAAACAGGUCACUGGGCUGCGGCCAACUGAUUUUCAAGAAAGCUGCCACGAGCACACGGGGGAAAGAGUAAUGUCUUCAGUAAGCGAGGCCUGGAGAACGGAAUACCCACAUAGACAGAAUGAAGCCAGAAGGCCGAUGUGGAGGCACAGGCCUGGAACCCCAGCACCCGAGAGGCUG